rnacentral:lncRNA from 1 species
UUACUGGGGCAAGGUGAGAGUAGAUACAACACAACAUUACUGGGGCUAGGUGAGAGUAGAUACAACACAACAUUACUGGGGCUAGGUGAGAGUAGAUACAACACAACAUUACUGGGGCUAGGUGAGAGUAGAUACAACACAACAUUACUGGAGCAAGGUGAGAGUAGAUACAACACAACAUUACUGGGGCUAGGUGAGAGUAGAUACAACACAACAUUACUGGGGCAAGGUGAGAGUAGAUACAACACAACAUUACUGGGGCUAGGUGAGAGUAGAUACAACACAACAUUACUGGGGCUAGGUGAGAGUAGAUACAACACAACAUUACUGGGGCUAGGUGAGAGUAGAUACAACACAACAUUACUGGGGCUAGGUGAGAGUAGAUACAACACAACAUUACUGGGGCUAGGUGAGAGUAGAUACAACACAACAUUACUGGGGCUAGGUGAGAGUAGAUACAACACAACAUUACUGGGGCUAGGUGAGAGUAGAUACAACACAACAUUACUGGAGCAAGGUGAGAGUAGAUACAACACAACAUUACUGGGGCUAGGUGAGAGUAGAUACAACACAACAUUACUGGGGCUAGGUGAGAGUAGAUACAACACAACAUUACUGGGGCUAGGUGAGAGUAGAUACAACACAACAUUACUGGGGCAAGGUGAGAGUAGAUACAACACAACAUUACUGGGGCUAGGUGAGAGUAGGCAUCAUAGGUUCUGUACUCACUUUUACAGUAGCUCAGUAAUCAUACCGCCUACACUCUUAGAAAAAAGGGUUCCAAAAGGGUUCUUCGGCUGUCCCAUAGGAUAACUCUUUCUUGUUCCAGGUAGAACUCUUUGGGUUCUUCUGGGGAAAGGGUUCUACAUGGAACCCAGUAGGGUUCUACCUGGAAUCAAAAGGGUUCUUUCUGGAACCAAAAAGGGUUAUUCAAAGUGUUCUAUUGGGACAGCCGAAGAACCCUUUUACGUUCUAGAUUUUUUUCUAAGAGUGUAGUUCCUGUUUUUGCAAUGUGCAGUCUGAAACCUUUUGUGAAAUGUUAUAUAAACCUAGCCUGCAUAGGUAUUUGCCAAAACAGAGUUAAGGGCACAUUUGCUAUGCAUUUGGAUCUGGUGAAAAGUUUGCACCUGUUUUUAUUGGAUGAAACACCAAAGCUAAAACAGCAAACUGUCUUCAUUUAUACUUGAUAAAUGGUUCACUUUCAGAACCUUUAUUCUUACCUUUUCAUUUAACCUUUUAUGUCCAAUUCCCUAUGGUAAACUUACUGUGCAAUCUUGAUACCUGAUGCAAAGUGCAAAUGUUGAAUAAAUGGGGUCCUUAGCGGUCAGAAGAAGGGAGGCUUGUAAAAUAGGUGUGGUGUCAAAUUUGAUGUACAUCCUGCCAUUGAGAUUUGGACUGGCAGAGCUUGUCUCAGACAUUUUAUAAAAGCCCUGAAUAUUCUUUUAACACUUGGAAAGUAGUUAUUCAAGACAAAUAACUUCUCAAGAAAAUUAUAUUUUCAUGAACUACAUAAACACAACCCACCUCAUACACGAUUACUUCAACUACAUAAACACAACCCACCUCAUACACGAUUACUUCAACUACAUAAACACAACCCACCUCAUACACGAUUACUUCAACUACAUAACACAACCCAUCUCAUACACGAUUACUUCAACUACAUAAACACAACCCACCUCAUACACGAUUACUUCAACUACAUAAACACAACCCACCUCAUACACGAUUACUUCAACUACAUAACACAACCCACCUCAUACACGAUUACUUCAACUACAUAAACACAACCCACCUCAUACACGAUUACUUCAACUACAUAACACAACCCACCUCAUACACGAUUACUUCAACUACAUAAACACAACCCACCUCAUACACGAUUACUUCAACUACAUAACACAACCCACCUCAUACACGAUUACUUCAACUACAUAACCCAACCCACCUCAUACACGAUUACUUCAACUACAUAAACACAACCCACCUCAUACACGAUUACUUCAACUACAUAACACAACCCACCUCAUACACGAUUACUUCAACUACAUAAACACAACCCACCUCAUACACGAUUACUUCAACUACAUAAACACAACCCACCUCAUACACGAUUACUUCAACUACAUAAACACAACCCACCUCAUACACGAUUACUUCAACUACAUAAACACAACCCACCUCAUACACGAUUACUUCAACUACAUAACACAACCCACCUCAUACACGAUUACUUCAACUGCAUAAACACAACCCACCUCAUACACGAUUACUUCAACUACAUAAACACAACCCACCUCAUACACGAUUACUUCAACUACAUAAACACAACCCACCUCAUACACGAUUACUUCAACUACAUAACCCAACCCACCUCAUACACGAUUACUUCAACUACAUAACACAACCCACCUCAUACACGAUUACUUCAAAUGUCAUCAUGGUUUGAUUGGCAAGGAGGACUACAGAGGAAACCAAUCUGUAUCCAUUCAAAAUGUGGAUUACAAAAAGUUGCAGGCACUUCCGACAUCCCCUAAGACUUACUUACUUUUGUAACAUCCUUAAACGUAUCAUUAAAAAGUUUGAUCGGCGGUUGUAAGUAUUCAAGUAAAUAUCCUUGGGAAAGUGAUGAUGAUCAAUGUGGAAUGUAAAAAAAACAAAUUUAAGUACAAAAAGUACAAUCAACCUUCAUUUGCAUGAGAAAAGUGAAAGUGGAAAAAAUUGCACUUAGCUAAAUCUCAGCAGAACACUUGCAUAAAUAUGCUGCAUAAUCAGCCAGAAUAAGAAAACACCUGUCGUCCUUCCAAGCUACUACUUUCCAUCACCAUUAACCAAUACAUUUUCCCUACUUCUCCUUCAUAUUUAACAAUCACCAGCUGUUUCUCUUGGCAGUAUUCUCAGAAUGUUUUGAGUCUUUCAUACGCUUGGCCUGCCUGAGGAACUGGUCUGCUUUCCUCAGCUUCUCCAUGGCUCUGGCUAGCAGCUCCUCCGGCGACCUGUCCUCCAGGCCAUCGCCCCCCGCUAGGGCCGAGUUCUGCCCAACCUCGGUGCUCCCUUUAGGGACAACGCUCCCCAGGAGCUCCCCUGUAUUUUCCAGCUCCAUGGCCAGUUCAUUUUCAAGGUCUGUUAAGUCUUGAGGACCCACGGUGGCCUUUGUCCCGGCCACGUCUGUGAUUCGCUGUUUCACGUUUUCACCCAAUGAGGCCUCAGAGAGGAGAUCCCCCAAAGAGGUGGACAUGAGCUUGGCUAAGGGUUUGAAGGGGAUG